GGGUUGAAGGACUGCUUGUUUGGAGAGAGAGAGAGAGAGAGAGAGGGGAGUAUUGAGGGGGUUGAAGGACUGCUUGUUGGGAGAGAGAGAGAGAGAGAGGGAGGGGGUUGAAGGACUGCUUGUUGGGAGAGAGAGAGAGAGAGCGAGAGAGAGAGAGAGGGGAGUAUUGAGGGGGUUGAAGGACUGCUUGUUGGAAGAGAGAGAGAGAGGAGUAUUGAGGGGGGUUGAAGGACUGCUUGUUGGAAGAGAGAGAGAGAGAGAGAGGGGGGGGGUAUUGAGGGGGUUGAAGGACUGCUUGUUGGAAGAGAGAGAGAGGAGUGUUGAGGGGGUUGAAGGACUGCUUGUUGGAAGAGAGAGAGAGAGAGAGGGGGGGUAUUGAGGGGGUUGAAGGACUGCUUGUUUGGAAGAGAGAGAGAGAGAGAGAGAGAGAGGGAGUAUUGAGGGGGUUGAAGGACUGCUUGUUGGAAGAGAGAGAGAGAGGUGUAUUGAGGGGGUUGAAGGACUGCUUGUUGGAAGAGAGAGAGAGAGAGAGAGAGAGAGAGAGGGAGUAUUGAGGGGGUUGAAGGACUCCUUGUUGGAAGAGAGAGAGAGGAGUAUUGAAGGGGUUGAAGGACUGUUUGUUGGAAGAGAGAGAGAGAGAGAGAGAGAGAGGAGAGUAUUGAGGGGGUUGAAGGACUGUUUGUUGGGAGAGCGAGAGAGAGAGAGAGAGAGAGAGAGAGGAAGGAGUAUUGAGGGGGUUGAAGGACUGUUUGUUUGGAGAGAGAGAGAGAGAGAGAGAGAGAGAGGGAGUAUUGAGGGGGUUGAAGGACUGUUUGUUGGGAGAGAGAGAGAGAGAGGAGUAUUGAGGGCGUUGAAGGACUGCUUGAUGGAAGAGAGAGAGAGAGGAGUGUUGAGGGGGUUGAAGGACUGUUUGUUGGGAAGAGAGAGAGAGAGAGAGAGAGAG
rnacentral:lncRNA from 1 species